GACGAACGCUGGCGGCGUGCCUAAUACAUGCAAGUUGAGCGAUGAAGAUUGGUGCUUGCACCAAUUUGAAGAGCAGCGAACGGGUGAGUAACGCGUGGGGAAUCUGCCUUUGAGCGGGGGACAACAUUUGGAAACGAAUGCUAAUACCGCAUAAUAACUUUAAACAUAAGUUUUAAGUUUGAAAGAUGCAAUUGCAUCACUCAAAGAUGAUCCCGCGUUGUAUUAGCUAGUUGGUGAGGUAAAGGCUCACCAAGGCGAUGAUACAUAGCCGACCUGAGAGGGUGAUCGGCCACAUUGGGACUGAGACACGGCCCAAACUCCUACGGGAGGCAGCAGUAGGGAAUCUUCGGAGAUGGACGAAAGUCUGACCGAGCAACGCCGCGUGAGUGAAGAAGGUUUUCGGAUCGUAAAACUCUGUUGGUAGAGAAGAACGUUGGUGAGAGUGGAAAGCUCAUCAAGUGACGGUAACUACCCAGAAAGGGACGGCUAACUACGUG
rnacentral:rRNA from 1 species